rnacentral:rRNA from 1 species
UUAGGUAUAAAUUGAUGAUGAAUUGUUUACCAGAGUACUACGAAUAAAACCGUUUAAAACUCAAAGAGCUUGGCGGUGCUUUAGACUUCUCAGGGGAACCUGUCUCGUAAUCGACAGUCCACGAAUCGACCUCACCUUUCUUUGCAAUCAGUAUGUAUACCGUCGUCGUCAGGUAACUUUUAAAAAUGUAGAAGUUAGCGAGAAAGCUUUUAAGCUUUUACGUCAGAUCAAGGUGCAGCCUAUGGAAAGGAGCGGAUGGGUUACAAUUAACACUUAUAACUACGAAUGUUAGUUUUAAAUAACUACGUGAAGGCGGACUUGAAAGUAUGAAAUAGUAUAUAAAUUGUUUGAAUUCAGCUCUGAAGCG